rnacentral:rRNA from 1 species
UGGGGAAUAUUGCACAAUGGGCGCAAGCCUGAUGCAGCCAUGCCGCGUGUAUGAAGAAGGCCUUCGGGUUGUAAAGUACUUUCAGUCGGGAGGAAGGUGUCAAGGUUAAUAACCUUGGCAAUUGACGUUACCGACAGAAGAAGCACCGGCUAACUCCGUGCCAGCAGCCGCGGUAAUACGGAGGGUGCAAGCGUUAAUCGGAAUUACUGGGCGUAAAGCGCACGCAGGCGGUUGAUUGAGUCAGAUGUGAAAUCCCCGGGCUUAACCCGGGAAUUGCAUCUGAUACUGGUCAGCUAGAGUCUUGUAGAGGGGGGUAGAAUUCCAUGUGUAGCGGUGAAAUGCGUAGAGAUGUGGAGGAAAACCGGUGGCGAAGGCGGCCCCCUGAACAAAGACUGACGCUCAGGUGCAAAAGCGUGGGGAGCAAACAGG